UGGUGGAGCGAUUUGUCUGGUUAAUUCCGAUAACGAACGAGACUCUGGCCUAUUAAAUAGUUCGCCGAUUCCGAUCAGUCGGCGUUAACUUCUUAGAGGGACAAGUGGCUUUUAGCCACGCGAGAUUGAGCAAUAACA
rnacentral:rRNA from 1 species